UACGGGGGGCAAGGCGUUGUUCGGAAUUACUGGCGUAAAGGCUCGUAGGCGGCCAACUAAGUCAGACGUGAAAUCCCUCGGCUUAACCGGGGAACUGCGUCUGAUACUGGAUGGCUUGAGUUCGGGAGAGGGAUGCGGAAUUCCAGGAUGUAGCGGUGAAAUGGCGUAGAUAUCUGGAGGAACACCGGUGGCGAAGGCGGCAUCCUGGACCGACACUGACGCUGAGGAGGCGAAAGCCAGGGGAGCAACGGG
rnacentral:rRNA from 1 species